rnacentral:rRNA from 1 species
GAUGAACGCUAGCUACAGGCUUAACACAUGCAAGUCGCGGGGCAGCAUGGGGGUUGCUUGCAAUCCCCGAUGGCGACCGGCGCACGGGUGAGUAACGCGUAUCCAACCUGCCCUUCACCACGGGAUAACCCGGCGAAAGUCGGACUAAUACCGUAUGUUGUCCAUUGACGGCAUCCGAUUUGGACGAAAGGCUUGGCGGUGAGGGAUGGGGAUGCGUCCGAUUAGCCAGACGGCGGGGUAACGGCCCACCGUGGCUACGAUCGGUAGGGGUUCUGAGAGGAAGGUCCCCCACACUGGAACUGAGACACGGUCCAGACUCCUACAGGAGGCAGCAGUGAGGAAUAUUGGUCAAUGGGCGUAAGCCUGAACCAGCCAAGUAGCGUGCAGGAUGACGGCCCUAUGGGUUGUAAACUGCUUUUAUGCGGGGAUAAAGUGGCCCACGUGUGGGCUUUUGCAGGUACCGCAUGAAUAAGGACCGGCUAAUUCCGUG